rnacentral:rRNA from 1 species
GAUGAACGCUAGCGGGAGGCCUAACACAUGCAAGUCGAACGGUAGAGGGGGCAACCCCUUGAGAGUGGCGAACGGGUGAGUAAUAUAUCGGAACGUGCCCAGUCGUGGGGAUAACGUAGCGAAAGUUACGCUAAUACCGCAUACGAUCUAAGGAUGAAAGCGGGGGACCGUAAGGCCUCGCGCGAUUGGAGCGGCCGAUAUCAGAUUAGGUAGUUGGUGGGGGUAAAAGGCUCACCCAAGCCCAACGAUCUGUAGCUGGUCUGAGAGGACGACCAGCCACACUAGAACUGAGACACGGUCCAGACUCCUACGGGAGGCAGCAGUGGGAAUUUUGGACAAUGGACGCAAGCCUGAUCCAGCAAUGCCGCGUGCAGGAAGAAGGCCUUCGGGUUGUAAAC